rnacentral:rRNA from 1 species
GAUGAACGCUGGCGGCGUGCCUAAUACAUGCAAGUCGAGCGAACAGACGAGGAGCUUGCUCCUCUGACGUUAGCGGCGGACGGGUGAGUAACACGUGGAUAACCUACCUAUAAGACUGGGAUAACUUCGGGAAACCGGAGCUAAUACCGGAUAAUAUAUUGAACCGCAUGGUUCAAUAGUGAAAGACGGUUUUGCUGACACUUAUAGAUGGAUCCGCGCCGCAUUAGCUAGUUGGUAAGGUAACGGCUUACCAAGGCAACGAUGCGUAGCCGACCUGAGAGGGUGAUCGGCCACACUGGCACUGAGACACGGUCCAGACUCCUACGGGAGGCAGCAGUAGGGAAUCUUCCGCGAUGGGCGAAAGCCUGACGGAGCAACGCCGCGUGAGUGAUGAAGGUCUUCGGAUCGUAAAACUCUGUUAUUAGGGAAGAACAAAUGUGUAAGUAACUAUGCACGUCUUGACGGUACCUAAUCAGAAAGCCACGGCUAACUACGUG